GCGCGAAAACUCUCCAAUGUGCGAAAGCGUGAGAGGGGAAUUCCUAGUGCUUACGGUUUAUCCGUAGGCUUUUGCCAUGUGUAAAUAGCAUGGCGAAUAAGUGGUGGGCAAGACUGGUGCCAGCCGCCGCGGUAACACCAGCGCCACGAGUGGCCACCGCGAUUAUUGGGCCUAAAGCGUCCGUAGUCUGCCUCGUACAUCCUCUGUGAAAUCGCUGCGCUCAACGUAGCGGCACGCGGGGGACACGGCGAGGCUUGAGAGCGGGAGGCGUGAAGAGUACUCUUGGGGGACCGGUAAAAUGGUAUAAUCCCAAGAAGACUACCUGUGGCGAAGGCGCUUCACGAGAACGCAUCUGACGAUGAGGCACGAAAGCGUGGGGAGCAAACAGGAUUAGAUCCCCGUAGUCCCUGAGCGGGCUGGCAAGGCGCAU
rnacentral:rRNA from 1 species